UUAAAGUUUCCAUGGUACAGAAUUUGUGU
rnacentral:piRNA from 1 species